AAAAAUAGAAUAUACGUAUCGUUUCCACCCUUGGACGAAAUUUCGGUUCACGAUUUAAGUGCAGUAUUAUUCAGUUACGCGCCAAAUUAUAUAUGCUCUUAUACUUUUUGUCAUUUAUUAUAAGAUUGUUUUAUUAGGUUUUUUCUUCUUUCCAAAUUCUAAUAGAAGCCUUUUGGUGUUAUGAGUUGAUGCAGGAAAAGCAAAGGCGACGCUUCCUGUAGUGGAAAGUGUGUUUAAUGGCCACAACAGCACGAGAAUCAGAACCUUGACUUUAGGAAAAUAUUGAAUAUAUUGCAAGAGAUUAUUUAUUUAGUGUAGUGUUGAAAGGGACGAAUAACUAAGUAGUGGCAAGUGGAGCAGUCACUAAUGCUAAUGCGUGGGAUUGAAUGAUUCGCAUUUCACAGAUGACACA
rnacentral:lncRNA from 1 species